CUAUAGCCCCGAUAGAAGCGGCUUCUUUUUUUGUUUUUUAUGCCUCACUUUCUUUGAGAAAUACAAAUAUUCUAAAAACAAAAAAGAUAUAGCGGAUAGCGGGAAACAGC
rnacentral:sRNA from 1 species